rnacentral:rRNA from 1 species
AUUGAACGCUGGCGGCAGGCCUAACACAUGCAAGUCGAGCGGAUGAAGGGAGCUUGCUCCUGGAUUCAGCGGCGGACGGGUGAGUAAUGCCUAGGAAUCUGCCUGGUAGUGGGGGAUAACGUCCGGAAACGGGCGCUAAUACCGCAUACGUCCUGAGGGAGAAAGUGGGGGAUCUUCGGACCUCACGCUAUCAGAUGAGCCUAGGUCGGAUUAGCUAGUUGGUGGGGUAAAGGCCUACCAAGGCGACGAUCCGUAACUGGUCUGAGAGGAUGAUCAGUCACCCUGGAACUGAGACACGGUCCAGACUCCUACGGGAGGCAGCAGUGGGGAAUAUUGGACAAUGGGCGAAAGCCUGAUCCAGCCAUGCCGCGUGUGUGAAGAAGGUCUUCGGAUUGUAAAGCACUUUAAGUUGGGAGGAAGGGCAGUAAGUUAAUCCCUUGCUGUUUUGACGUUACCAACAGAAUACGCACCGGCUAACUUCGUG